rnacentral:rRNA from 1 species
UACGUAGGGGGCAAGCGUUAUCCGGAUUUACUGGGUGUAAAGGGAGCGUAGACGGCAUGGCAAGCCAGAUGUGAAAGCCCGGGGCUCAACCCCGGGACUGCAUUUGGAACUGUCAGGCUAGAGUGUCGGAGAGGAAAGCGGAAUUCCUAGUGUAGUGGUGAAAUGCGUAGAUAUUAGGAGGAACACCAGUGGCGAAGGCGGCUUUCUGGACGAUGACUGACGUUGAGGCUCGAAAGCGUGGGGAGCAAACAGGAUUAGAUGGUAGUCCGGCUGACUGACU